GUCGUUGCGAUAGUAAUCCUGCUCAGUACGAGAGGAACCGCAGGUUCGGACAUUUGGUUCACGCACUCGAUCGAGCGGCCGGUGGUGCGAAGCUACCAUCCGUGGGAUUAUGCCUGAACGCCUCUAAGAUCGUAUCCUUUCUAGCCAAAGGAGGCAACGAU
rnacentral:ncRNA from 1 species